rnacentral:rRNA from 1 species
AUUGAACGCUGGCGGCAGGCCUAACACAUGCAAGUCGAACGGAUCCUUCGGGAUUAGUGGCGGACGGGUGAGUAACACGUGGGAACGUGCCCUUUGGUUCGGAACAACUCAGGGAAACUUGAGCUAAUACCGGAUGUGCCCUUCGGGGGAAAGAUUUAUCGCCAUUGGAGCGGCCCGCGUCUGAUUAGCUAGUUGGUGAGGUAAAGGCUCACCAAGGCGACGAUCAGUAGCUGGUCUGAGAGGAUGAUCAGCCACAUUGGGACUGAGACACGGCCCAAACUCCUACGGGAGGCAGCAGUGGGGAAUCUUGCGCAAUGGGCGAAAGCCUGACGCAGCCAUGCCGCGUGAAUGAUGAAGGUCUUAGGAUUGUAAAAUUCUUUCACCGGGGACGAUAAUGACGGUACCCGGAGAAGAAGCCCCGGCUAACUUCGUGCCAGCCGCCGCCGUAA